rnacentral:rRNA from 1 species
CGUGUAGGCGGUUUCUUAAGUCUGAUGUGAAAGCCCUGGGCUCAACCCAGGAAGUGCAUUGGAUACUGGGAGACUUGAAUACGGGAGAGGGUAGUGGAAUUCCUAGUGUAGGAGUGAAAUCCGUAGAUAUUAGGAGGAACACCGGUGGCGAAGGCGGCUACCUGGACCGAUAUUGACGCUGAGACGCGAAAGCGUGGGGAGCAAACAGGAUUAGAUACCCUGGUAGUCCACGCCGUAAACGAUGAGAACUAGGUGUUGCGGGUAUUGACCCCUGCAGUGCCGCAGCUAACGCAUUAAGUUCUCCGCCUGGAAGUACGGUCGCAAGACUAAA